rnacentral:misc_RNA from 1 species
UUAAGUUCAGCGGGUAUCCCUACCUGAUCCGAGGUCAACCUAGAAAAAUUGGGGGUUUGCGGCAGGAUCACCUCACGUUCCAAGCGAAAGAAAACUUACUACGCCGGGGCACAUGGGGCUUUCCGCCAUUGGAUUUCGGAAGGGAGUGCAGCGAGUGCACUCCUCUCCCAAUACCAAGCAAAAGAGCUUGAGUGGUUUUU